GCGUGGACGAGGUCAGCAUUUU
rnacentral:miRNA from 1 species